rnacentral:rRNA from 1 species
UACGUAGGGUGCGAGCGUUGUCCGGAAUUAUCGGGCGUAAAGGGCUCGUAGGCGGUUUGUCGCGUCGGGAGUGAAAUCCACUGGCUUAACUGGUGGCUUGCUUUCGAUACGGGCAGACUGGAGGUAUGCAGGGGAGAACGGAAUUCCUGGUGUAGCGGUGAAAUGCGCAGAUAUCAGGAGGAACACCGGUGGCGAAGGCGGGUCUCUGGGCCGAUACUGACGCUGAGGAGCGAAAGCGUGGGAGCGAACAGG